rnacentral:rRNA from 1 species
CUACGGGGGGCUGCAGUGGGGAAUAUUGCACAAUGGGCGCAAGCCUGAUGCAGCCAUGCCGCGUGUAUGAAGAAGGCCUUCGGGUUGUAAAGUACUUUCAGCGGGGAGGAAGGGAGUAAAGUUAAUACCUUUGCUCAUUGACGUUACCCGCAGAAGAAGCACCGGCUAACUCCGUGCCAGCAGCCGCGGUAAUACGGAGGGUGCAAGCGUUAAUCGGAAUUACUGGGCGUAAAGCGCACGCAGGCGGUUUGUUCAGUCAGAUGUGAAAUCCCCGGGCUCAACCUGGGAACUGCAUCUGAUACUGGCAAGCUUGAGUGUCGUAGAGGGGGGUAGAAUUCCAGGUGUAGCGGUGAAAUGCGUAGAGAUCUGGAGGAAUACCGGUGGCGAAGGCGGCCCCCUGGACGAAGACUGACGCUCAGGUGCGAAAGCGUGGGGAGCAAACAGGAUUAGAUACCCGAGUAGUC